rnacentral:rRNA from 1 species
AUCGACUAGAGUUUGAUCCUGGCUCAGAGCGAACGUUAGCGGCGGGCUUAACACAUGCAAGUCGAACGAGAAUGAGGGGGCAACUCCUCUAGUAAAGUGGCGGACGGGUGCGUAACACGUGGGGCAAUCUACCUUCCAGCGGGGGACAACCGUCCGAAAGGAUGGCUAAUACCGCGUACGUCGGCGAGGAUUCCGGUUCUUGCCGAGAAAGAUGGCCUCUCCUUGGAAGCUGUCACUGGAAGAUGAACCCGCGGCCCAUCAGCUAGUUGGUGAGGUAAUGGCUCACCAAGGCUAAGACGGGUAGCUGGUCUGAGAGGAUGAUCAGCCACACUGGGACUGCGACACGGCCCAGACUCCUACGGGAGGCAGCAGUGGGGAAUAUUGGGCAAUGGGCGGAAGCCUGACCCAGCCACGCCGCGUGAGUGAUGAAGGCCUUCGGGUCGUAAAGCUCUGUGGGGAGGGACGAACAAGCACGGUGCUAAUAUCACCGGGCCCUGACGGUACCUCCUUAGCAAGCACCGGCUAACCCUGUGCCAGCAGCCGCGGUAA